UACCCUACGGGGGGCAGCAGUGGGGGAUAUUGCACAAUGGGGGAAACCCUGAUGCAGCGACGCCGCGUGUGGGAAGACGGUCUUCUGGAUUGUAAACCACUGUCCCCAGGGACGAAAAUGACGGUACCUGGGGAGGAAGCUCCGGCUAACUACGUGCCAGCAGCCGCGGUAAUACGUAGGGAGCAAGCGUUGUCCGGAAUUACUGGGUGUAAAGGGAGCGUAGGCGGGGAUGCAAGUUGGGUGUCAAAACUACCGGCUCAACCGGUACAGGCUCUGGAAACUGGCGGGCUAGAGAGCAGGAGAGG
rnacentral:rRNA from 1 species